CCUACGGGUGGCUGCAGUGGGGAAUAUUGGACAAUGGGCGCAAGCCUGAUCCAGCCAUGCCGCGUGAGUGAUGAAGGCCUUAGGGUUGUAAAGCUCUUUUAUCCGGGACGAUAAUGACGGUACCGGAGGAAUAAGCCCCGGCUAACUUCGUGCCAGCAGCCGCGGUAAUACGAAGGGGGCUAGCGUUGCUCGGAAUCACUGGGCGUAAAGGGCGCGUAGGCGGCGUUUUAAGUCGGGGGUGAAAGCCUGUGGCUCAACCACAGAAUGGCCUUCGAUACUGGGACGCUUGAGUAUGGUAGAGGUUGGUGGAACUGCGAGUGUAGAGGUGAAAUUCGUAGAUAUUCGCAAGAACACCGGUGGCGAAGGCGGCCAACUGGACCAUUACUGACGCUGAGGCGCGAAAGCGUGGGGAGCAAACAGGAUUAGAUACCCCGGUAGUC
rnacentral:rRNA from 1 species